GUAAAGAGUUCAGAGUUAGUAGUGAAGAAAAUAUGGAGAAGAUAAUGCACAGAGAAGUUGAGAAACAAAGGAGACAAGAAAUGACUUCUCUUUACGUGUCUUCUCGGUCUUCACUCUAUUGAGUUCAUCCAGGGAAAGCGUUCUACGUCAGAUCAGUUGAACGAGGAGGUGAAUUACAUAAAGUAUCUUCAGAGGGGGAGUAUAAAUGCACACGGUAUGAAUGAAAGUUUUACACGUGAUAAAACUUAUGUUUAGUGAUGUAGAUAGCAUCAUUUAUUUAGUACCAAAAUUUAUGUUUCAAAGUUUGUUAGGUGAUAUUUUAUGUGUCAAUCUUGUCAGCGUACUGCUGAUCAUUCUACCAAACAGCAUAAGCAUUACACAACCGAACAUAAAGUUUCUGUUUUUAUAUCUAAGAAACAAAAGGAUAGAAGUAAAACCUCAUCCUCACUGUUGGGACGCUAAAGACCGUGCUGGCUGAUGUUAAGCACCGUGCUUGGCGAUGAAGCAGUGGCCCGAUGGUUGUGUCACAAGAAACCAUUUUCACUCUUAACAAGCCCAAGCAAGCGCCUUUGGGUGAGCGAUUAGCCGAUUAUUACUCAGCGAGUUGUAUUUUUCACAAAAAUCCCAAAUCUAUUCAUUAUUUUCAUUUUAAGCACAUA